AUUGAACGCUGGCGGCAGGCCUAACACAUGCAUGUCGAGCGGAUGAAGGGAGCUUGCUCCUGGAUUCAGCGGCGGACGGGUGAGUAAUGCCUAGGAAUCUGCCUGGUAGUGGGGGAUAACGUCCGGAAACGGGCGCUAAUACCGCAUACGUCCUGAGGGAGAAAGUGGGGGAUCUUCGGACCUCACGCUAUCAGAUGAGCCUAGGUCGGAUUAGCUAGUUGGUGGGGUAAAGGCCUACCAAGGCGACGAUCCGUAACUGGUCUGAGAGGAUGAUCAGUCACACUGGAACUGAGACACGGUCCAGACUCCUACGGGAGGCAGCAGUGGGGAAUAUUGGACAAUGGGCGAAAGCCUGAUCCAGCCAUGCCGCGUGUGUGAAGAAGGUCUUCGGAUUGUAAAGCACUUUAAGCUGGGAGGAAGGGCAGUAAGUUAAUACCUUGCUGUUUUGACGUUACCAACAGAAUAAGCACCGGCUAACUUCGUG
rnacentral:rRNA from 1 species